rnacentral:rRNA from 1 species
UAGGGAAUCUUCCGCAAUGUGCGAAAGCCUGACGGAGCAACGCCGCGUGAGUGAUGAAGGUCUUCGGAUCGUAAAACUCUGUUAUUAGGGAAGAACAAAUGUGUAAGUAACUAUGCACGUCUUGACGGUACCUAAUCAGAAAGCCACGGCUAACUACGUGCCAGCAGCCGCGGUAAUACGUAGGUGGCAAGCGUUAUCCGGAAUUAUUGGGCGUAAAGCGCGCGUAGGCGGUUUUUUAAGUCUGAUGUGAAAGCCCACGGCUCAACCGUGGAGGGUCCUUGGAAACUGGAAAACUUGAGUGCAGAAGAGGAAAGUGGAAUUCCAUGUGUAGCGGUGAAAUGCGCAGAGAUAUGGAGGAACACCAGUGGCGAAGGCGACUUUCUGGUCUGUAACUGACGCUGAUGUGCGAAAGCGUGGGGAUCAAACAGG